GGCCCAAUGGUCUAGUGGUAUGAUUCUCGCUUUGGGUUCUCAAGGUCCAAGCAUGCGAGAGGCCCCGCGUUCGAAUCGCGGUUGGGCCC